AUAUAAUUAAUCAGAAC
rnacentral:sRNA from 1 species